UCCCUGUUACCAGGGCAGUCUAACUAGAAAAAUCCAACUAGCUAUAAGGGUUGCGCUCGUUGAUGGACUUAACCAAACAUCUCACGACACGAGCUGACGACGGCCAUGCAUCACCUGUCACCGAGUUCCUUACGGCACACUCUGCUUUCGCAGAACUUCUCGGGAUGUCAAGCCUUGGUAAGGUUCUUCGCUUAGUAUCGAAUUAAACAACACGCUCCACCGCUUGUGCAGGACCCCGUCAAUUCCUUUAUGUUUUAGUCUUGCGACCGUACUCCACAGGCGGGAUGCUUAACGCGUUAGCUUCGCUACUACGAGGGUCGAUACUCGUAACAGCUAGCAUCCAUCGUUUACGGCGUGGACUAC
rnacentral:misc_RNA from 1 species